rnacentral:rRNA from 1 species
UUCCGGUUGAUCCUGCCAGAGGUCACUGCUAUCGGGGUUCGAUUAAGCCAUGCGAGUCGAGAGGGUUCGGCCCUCGGCGUACUACUCAGUAACACGUGGAUAACCUGCCCUAAUGAAGGGGAUAACCUCGGGAAACUGAGGAUAAUACCCUAUAGGUUACAGACGCUGGAAUGCCCUGUAACCGAAAGUUCCGGCGCCUUAGGAUGGAUCUGCGGCCGAUUAGGUUGUUGUUGGGGUAACGGCCCGCAAGCCGAUAAUCGGUACGGGUUGUGGGAGCAAGAGCCCGGAGUUGGAUUCUGAGACAUGAAUCCAGGCCCUACGGGGCGCAGCAGGCGCGAAAACUUUACAAUGCGGGAAACCGUGAUAAGGGAACCCCGAGUGCCUGUAUAUGCAGGCUGUCCAGGUGUCUAAAAAACACCUGAAGAAAGGGCCGGGCAAGACCGGUGCCAGCCGCCGCGGUAAUACCGGCGGCUCGAGUGGUGGCCACUUUUAUUGGGCU